rnacentral:rRNA from 1 species
GAUGAACGCCGGCGGCGUGCCUAAUACAUGCAAGUCGAGCGAAUGGAUUAAGAGCUUGCUCUUAUGAAGUUAGCGGCGGACGGGUGAGUAACACGUGGGUAACCUGCCCAUAAGACUGGGAUAACUCCGGGAAACCGGGGCUAAUACCGGAUAACAUUUUGAACCGCAUGGUUCGAAAUUGAAAGGCGGCUUCGGCUGUCACUUAUGGAUGGACCCGCGUCGCAUUAGCUAGUUGGUGAGGUAACGGCUCACCAAGGCAACGAUGCGUAGCCGACCUGAGAGGGUGAUCGGCCACACUGGGACUGAGACACGGCCCAGACUCCUACGGGAGGCAGCAGUAGGGAAUCUUCCGCAAUGGACGAAAGUCUGACGGAGCAACGCCGCGUGAGUGAUGAAGGCUUUCGGGUCGUAAAACUUUGUUGUUAGGGAAGAACAAGUGCUAGUUGAAUAAGCUGACACCUUGACGGUACCUAACCAGAAAGCCACGGCUAACUACGUGCCAGCCGCCGCCGUAA